rnacentral:lncRNA from 10 species
CUCCUCCCACACCCCAAAAGAAGCCACACAGCUAGCCAGAGAGGGGCUGCCUCUGGAAUGCACACCAGGGCUUGUCCACACACACUCCCCGGCCCUCUGCGCCUCUUUAGGGAGGUUCCUGCUGCUGGAUCUGCUGCCUUCUUCACCUUGAGAGUGCAUUUAUGUAACAAGAAAACACCUGGGUGUUUUCACAGCUCUGCCCUCAUCAUGAGACCAUGCCCAGGCUAGUCUGCUGGAAGGAAGUCAGAGGCACACGGAAGAGAGCCACAUUCAGCCAAGGCCAUUCUAGACCAGUUGUUCCCUGUCACUUCACUAAUUGGCCACAGCACAAGGUUUUGUUGAAGAUUGAAUGAGUGUGUAAAGUGCCCAACAGAAAGUCUGGCACAUGGUACACGGAUGGAGCUGGAAGCCAUUAUCCUCAGCAAACUAAUGUAGGAACAGAAAACCAAAUAUUGCAUGUUCUUACUUAUAAGUGGGAGCUGAACAACGAGAACACAUGGACACAGGGAGGGAAACAACACACACUGGGGCCUGUCCAGCAGUAAGGUUGAGGCAGGGAAAGCAUUAGGAAAAAUAGCUAUGCAUGCUGGGCUGAAUACUGGGUGAUGGAUUGAUAGGUGCAGCAAACCACCAUGGCAUAUGUUUACCUUUGUAAGAAACCAGCACAUCCUGCACAUGUACCCUGGAACUUAAAAUAAAAAUUAAAAUGUUUUUUAAAAAAGUCAUGAUGUUUUCUCAGCAGCCCAGUUUACUUUUCCAGACCCCUCUGGCAUGUGUUACUCCAGAAAAAGGCCGGUGUGUGUGAA